UCUGCCCCUCGAUGUAUUGCUGAUGUGUCACAUAUGCUUUGGUAGGUGUCAGAGAAGAGACAGCCUAUGCCUAUGCUCAGUGUUCUGAAUACACACACGCACACACCCACAUGCAUAUAUAUAUAUAUAAUAGCAUUCCAUG
rnacentral:snoRNA from 1 species